AACGAACGCUGGCGGCAUGCCUAACACAUGCAAGUCGAACGAGACCUUCGGGUCUAGUGGCGCACGGGUGCGUAACGCGUGGGAAUCUGCCCUUGGGUUCGGAAUAACAGUUGGAAACGACUGCUAAUACCGGAUGAUGACGUAAGUCCAAAGAUUUAUCGCCCAGGGAUGAGCCCGCGUAGGAUUAGCUAGUUGGUGGGGUAAAGGCCUACCAAGGCGACGAUCCUUAGCUGGUCUGAGAGGAUGAUCAGCCACACUGGGACUGAGACACGGCCCAGACUCCUACGGGAGGCAGCAGUGGGGAAUAUUGGACAAUGGGCGAAAGCCUGAUCCAGCACUGCCGCGUGAGUGAUGAAGGCCUUAGGGUUGUAAAGCUCUUUUACCCGGGAUGAUAAUGACAGUACCGGGAGAAUAAGCCCCGGCUAACUCCGUG
rnacentral:rRNA from 1 species